GCAGAAGGUCGGGUGGUCGCCCUCUCCAUGGGAGGGGGAGGAAAGUCCGGGCUCCGAAGAGCGCGAUGCCGGAUAACGUCCGGGCGGGGUGACCCGACGGAAAGUGGCACAGAAAAGACACGGCCUGUCAAGGCAAAGGUGAAAUGGCGCGGUAAGAGCGCACCGGCGAUAUGGAGACAUAUCGGCCUGCUAAACCCCAUCGGGAGCAAGGUUCAAUAUGGAGAGGAUGACGCUGCUCGCCGACUCUCCAGGUGGAACCGCAUGAGGGUGCGAGCAAUCGCAUCCCUAGAGAGAUGACCACACAAAUACAGAACCCGGCUUACAGACCUUCUGCACUC
rnacentral:RNase_P_RNA from 1 species